CAUUAUCCUUUAUCUUAUCGUCAAAGUGUUUAAAAAUGCUUACAACGAUAGCAUAGCUUUUACAACAAAUUGAUCAGUUUACGAAAACAAGGUAGAACAACAAGAGAAUGAUAUCGCCUAAUAUUUUAAGUCUAGUAUUUUCUAACGCAACACAUUUUUCUCUUAAUUAAUUCGAAUAUAACACGUUCUAUUACAUUUUUGUAAUUUCUAGCGUUGCGCCAGCGACGAAUCUAAACGGUGUGCAAAGUCGCAGUCUACGAAUUGAUUUCUGACAUUCUUCGGACAAAUAUCCACGAUACACAAUGGCAGUCGUGCGAUAAUGAUUAACGGCUGUUUGGAGAAAUGAAGGCGAACGGCGUAUCUUGUGCGAAAUUUACAUCGAGAAGGUGUAACGAAACAGAUGUGACGAUACAUCGGGAAAUGCUUCUGCGUUAUGAACGAGCGACAGAUGACUUUCUUGCAGACGUGAAUUGAUCCUACGCUAUGCCGCACGCUGUCUGUUUAAAGAUUCGCACCUGCCAAGUUUCAUCAAUGAGUAAUUCGAAUGACAUCUUAUAAUGAAGACGUGUCGAACGUAUGCGACGAUUAACCGCAAUUGAUUUCGUCAUCUCGUUGAUCCUGCGCUUCGAAGCGAAACUAAAAUGAUGAAUGUCAUCGGGGAUAUUCCGCUUUGCGAAAUAACGAAGCUGCCCCGGAGAUCAAUAUACACAGUAGAAAAUUAUCGAUAUUGCGCUAAAUUACACAAGUGUAAUUGCGUAAACGCACAAGUCGCGGACAGCUUGUUUAAUUUACGAAAUAAGAUAAUUGAUUUGAGAUAAAGUCCGCCGAGUCUUCGGUGUUAAUCGAAUUCAAUUCGAUCGGUCGUCCGCGGCUUCAAGUAACGCGUUCUGCCGCCCUCGUCAGUUGCGUGAUGUAACUUCUUUCAUCUCAAGUACGAGCAAACGAGGAAAGCUUAUCGGGACCGCGAGUAAAUUUCAAUUAUCGAGCGCGCGCGAGCAGUGCUGCGGAUAGGCGAGAGCACAGUUGAGCGGAUUUCUAUAAUGACACGUUUCGUCUGGCUGCUUCCUGAUAUCCACGUAAUAAUAAACCGGCACACUUCUAAAGAGGAGAGAACCGAACUAAAGGAUUACGUUGAACCACAUAAAUUUAAUCAUCCUGUUAUUAUGUAAUCCGGCUGGCGACUUGUAAUCGUCCGCGUGUAAUUAAACAACAACGUUUCGACGCGCUCGCAGAUCAAAGACGCAAAUCAGAAGGCAUAAUCGGGAAACGGUGCACCGUCAUACGUGGGUGGCUCAUAAGUGGCGCACGUGUAAAUCAGUAUGACGAUCA